ACCCACGGCGCCGUCGGAUCCCAGAGCGGCUGGUGCAAGCUUAAAGUGUUGCUGCCAGACCUUUCUUCUCUUCUAAUUUACCAAGUGAAGAAUGUUGAAAUAUCCAACUAUAAUUUGUGGAUUUCUCCUUUCAAUGCUAUCAUUUUUGGUGCUUCAUGUAUUUUUGAAGCUCUAUUAUUAGCCUCUCUUGAACCUUCACAGUCCAGCCGAGCUGCCAUCUCUUCAAGGAAGUUUUCCCUGAAGCCCUCAGGUAGACCCGUUUUUCCAUGGCGGCCACAUCAGCAUGCAGCACAUUUAAUUGGAAGUCUCCACAUAUGAGUUGGUUUUCCUUACUUAAAAUAUGCUUAUCAUCCCUUGGAGGUCUGAUGCAUUUUUCUGUCUCUGCAGACCAGCUCCUCCCCCCUCCAAAUCUCAAUGGAAGAAUGCGACAUUCUGGAUUCAGCUACCCAAAGAGGGGUUUUUUCCCCCUCUUUGUCUCUAUUAUACAUUUUAUAGGAAGGAAUUCUGUCCCAGUUAAUUCAAACUGGGACCAGAGGAACAGGGUCCCGCUGCUCAAAAUGGCUGUCACCCGUGGGUAUUGACUGCUGCCUCAUGAAGGCUGGUCCUGUCUCUAUAGUGAAUAUUGUGCACCUCAGGGUAGAAUGGAGAGCAGAAGACUUCAAAUCAGGCAGUCUGGGUUCAGACCCCAAUUCUAGUGCUAAAUAGCUACGUGACUUUAGGCCGAUUGUGUGUGACUUCCCUGAGCCCCAGUCUCUUUGCCUGCAAAAUGAGAAAAAUUAUAACAAU
rnacentral:lncRNA from 10 species